rnacentral:rRNA from 1 species
GGGGAAUCUUGCACAAUGGGCGAAAGCCUGAUGCAGCGACGCCGCGUGAGGGAUGACGGCUUUCGGGUUGUAAACCUCUUUUAUCCAUGACGAAGGCCGGCUUGUUGUCGGUUGACGGUAGUGGUUGAAUAAGCGCCGGCUAACUACGUGCCAGCAGCCGCGGUAAGACGUAGGGCGCGAGCGUUGUCCGGAUUUAUUGGGCGUAAAGGGCUCGUAGGCGGCUCGUCGCGUCUGCCGUGAAAGACCAUGGCUUAACUGUGGUUUUGCGGUGGAUACGGGCGGGCUUGAGGCCAGUAGGGGAGAUCGGAAUUCUACGUGUAGCGGUGAAAUGCGCAGAUAUGUGGAGGAACACCGGUGGCGAAGGCGGAUCUCUGGGCUGGUUCUGACGCUGAGGAGCGAAAGCAUGGGGAGCGAAC